rnacentral:rRNA from 1 species
AGACCAAGGGUUCCUGUCCAACGUUAAUCGGGGCAGGGUGAGUCGACCCCUAAGGCGAGGCCGAAAGGCGUAGUCGAUGGGAAACAGGUUAAUAUUCCUGUACUUGGUGUUACUGCGAAGGGGGGACGGAGAAGGCUAUGUUGGCCGGGCGACGGUUGUCCCGGUUUAAGCGUGUAGGCUGGUUUUCCAGGCAAAUCCGGAAAACUAAGGCUGAGGCGUGAUGACGAGGCACUACGGUGCUGAAGCAACAAAUGCCCUGCUUCCAGGAAAAGCCUCUAAGCAUCAGGUAACAUCAAAUCGUACCCCAAACCGACACAGGUGGUCAGGUAGAGAAUACCAAGGCGCUUGAGAGAACUCGGGUGAAGGAACUAGGCAAAAUGGUGCCGUAACUUCGGGAGAAGGCACGCUGAUAUGUAGGUGAAGUCCCUCGCGGAUGGAGCUGAAAUCAGUCGAAGAUACCAGCUGGCUGCAACUGUUUAUUAAAAACACAGCACUGUGCAAACACGAAAGUGGACGUAUACGGUGUGACGCCUGCCCGGUGCCGGAAGGUUAAUUGAUGGGGUCAGCGCAAGCGAAGCUCUUGAUCGAAGCCCCGGUAAACGGCGGCCGUAACUAUAACGGUCCUAAGGUAGCGAAAUUCCUUGUCGGGUAAGUUCCGACCUGCACGAAUGGCGUAAUGAUGGCCAGGCUGUCUCCACCCGAGACUCAGUGAAAUUGAACUCGCUGUGAAGAUGCAGUGUACCCGCGGCAAGACGGAAAGACCCCGUGAACCUUUACUAUAGCUUGACACUGAACAUUGAGCCUUGAUGUGUAGGAUAGGUGGGAGGCUUUGAAGUGUGGACGCCAGUCUGCAUGGAGCCGACCUUGAAAUACCACCCUUUAAUGUUUGAUGUUCUAACGUUGACCCGUAAUCCGGGUUGCGGACAGUGUCUGGUGGGUAGUUUGACUGGGGCGGUCUCCUCCUAAAGAGUAACGGAGGAGCACGAAGGUUGGCUAAUCCUGGUCGGACAUCAGGAGGUUAGUGCAAUGGCAUAAGCCAGCUUGACUGCGAGCGUGACGGCGCGAGCAGGUGCGAAAGCAGGUCAUAGUGAUCCGGUGGUUCUGAAUGGAAGGGCCAUCGCUCAACGGAUAAAAGGUACUCCGGGGAUAACAGGCUGAUACCGCCCAAGAGUUCAUAUCGACGGCGGUGUUUGGCACCUCGAUGUCGGCUCAUCACAUCCUGGGGCUGAAGUAGGUCCCAAGGGUAUGGCUGUUCGCCAUUUAAAGUGGUACGCGAGCUGGGUUUAGAACGUCGUGAGACAGUUCGGUCCCUAUCUGCCGUGGGCGCUGGAGAACUGAGGGGGGCUGCUCCUAGUACGAGAGGACCGGAGUGGACGCAUCACUGGUGUUCGGGUUGUCAUGCCAAUGGCACUGCCCGGUAGCUAAAUGCGGAAGAGAUAAGUGCUGAAAGCAUCUAAGCACGAAACUUGCCCCGAGAUGAGUUCUCCCUGACUCCUUGAGAGUCCUGAAGGAACGUUGAAG